UACGUAGGGUGCAAGCGUUAAUCGGAAUUACUGGGCGUAAAGCGUGCGCAGGCGGUUAUGUAAGACAGUUGUGAAAUCCCCGGGCUCAACCUGGGAACUGCAUUUGUGACUGGCAAGCUAGAGUAUGGCAGAGGGGGGUAGAAUUCCACGUGUAGCAGUGAAAUGCGUAGAGAUGUGGAGGAAUACCGAUGGCGAAGGCAGCCCCCUGGGCCAAUACUGACGCUCAUGCACGAAAGCGUGGGGAGCAAACAGG
rnacentral:rRNA from 1 species